AGUGAACGUUGGCGGCGUGGAUUAGGCAUGCAAGUCGAGCGAGAACCGUAGCAAUACGGGGACAGCGGCGAAAGGGACAGUAAUGUGUAGGUACCUACCUCCAGGUCCGGGAUAGCUGCGGGAAACUGCAGGUAAUACCGAAUAACGUCUCCGGACCAAAGGAGUGAUUCCACCUGGAGAGGGGCCUGCAUCCUAUUAGCUUGUUGGCGGGGUAACGGCCCACCAAGGCGACGAUGGGUAGCGGGUGUGAGAGCACGACCCGCGUCAUUGGGACUGAGACACUGCCCAGACACCUACGGGUGGCUGCAGUCGUGAAUCUUCGGCAAUGGGCGCAAGCCUGACCGAGCGACGCCGCGUGCGGGAUGAAGGCCUUCGGGUUGUAAACCGCUGUCGUAGAGGAGGAAAUGCAGGGGGGUUCUCCCCUCUGUUUGACCUAUUCUAGGAGGAAGUACGGGCUAAGUUCGUGCCAGCAGCCGCGGUAA
rnacentral:rRNA from 1 species